rnacentral:rRNA from 1 species
UUCGGAUGGAAGCGAUAAACCUUAGCGGCGGACGGGUGAGUAACGCGUGGGUAACCUGCCUCAUACAGGGGGAUAACAGUUAGAAAUGACUGCUAAAACCGCAUAAGCGCACAUUGUCGAGUGACAGAGUGUGAAAAACUCCGGUGGUAUGAGAUGGACCCGCGUCUGAUUAGCUAGUUGGUGAGGUAACGGCCCACCAAGGCGACGAUCAGUAGCCGGCCUGAGAGGGCGACCGGCCACAUUGGGACUGAGACACGGCCCAAACUCCUACGGGAGGCAGCAGUGGGGAAUAUUGCACAAUGGGGGAAACCCUGAUGCAGCGACGCCGCGUGAGUGAAGAAGUAUUUCGGUAUGUAAAGCUCUAUCAGCAGGGAAGAAGAAAGACGGUACCUGACUAAGAAGCCCCGGCUAACUACGUGCCAGCAGCCGCGGUAAUACGUAGGGGGCAAGCGUUAUCCGGAUUUACUGGGUGUAAAGGGAGCGUAGACGGCUGUGCAAGUCUGAAGUGAAAGCCCAGGGCUCAACCCUGGGACUGCUUUGGAAACUGUGGAGCUAGAGUGCUGGAGAGGUAAGUGGAAUUCCUAGUGUAGCGGUGAAAUGCGUAGAUAUUAGGAGGAACACCAGUGGCGAAGGCGGCUUACUGGACAGUAACUGACGUUGAGGCUCGAAAGCGUGGGGAGCAAACAGGAUUAGAUACCCUGGUAGUCCACGCGGUAAACGAUGAAUACUAGGUGUUGGAGAGCAAAGCUUUUCGGU